AUGCAAGUCGAACGGUAACAGGAAGCAGCUUGCUGCUUCGCUGACGAGUGGCGGACGGGUGAGUAAUGUCUGGGAAACUGCCUGAUGGAGGGGGAUAACUACUGGAAACGGUAGCUAAUACCGCAUAACGUCGCAAGACCAAAGAGGGGGACCUUAGGGCCUCUUGCCAUCGGAUGUGCCCAGAUGGGAUUAGCUAGUAGGUGGGGUAACGGCUCACCUAGGCGACGAUCCCUAGCUGGUCUGAGAGGAUGACCAGCCACACUGGAACUGAGACACGGUCCAGACCCCUACGGGAGGCAGCAGUGGGGAAUAUUGCACAAUGGGCGCAAGCCUGAUGCAGCCAUGCCGCGUGUAUGAAGAAGGCCUUCGGGUUGUAAAGUACUUUCAGCGGGGAGGAAGGGAGUAAAGUUAAUACCUUUGCUCAUUGACCUUACCCGCAGAAGAAGCACCGGCUAACUCCAUGCCGCCAGCCUGCGGUAAUACGGAGGGUGCAAGCGUUAAUCGAAAUUACUGGGCGUAAAACGCACGCAGGCGAUUCGUUAAGCCAGAUGAGAAAAAUCCCCGGGCUCAACCCGGGAACUGCAUCUGAUACUGGCAAGCUUGAGUCUCGUAGAGGGGGGUAGAAU
rnacentral:rRNA from 1 species